UGCGUGUUUACACCCAUCAAGAUGAAGAACUCUUGGAAGUUCAGGGUCGGUCAAGGACUUAUUACUCUCGCCACCUAGAACAUCAUUUCUGUAGUCAAGAACGAAGUAAACUACUAACAAAUAUUAUUUUGUUUUUAUUGUUGAAGUAUUUUCGAGAUACAAAAGGUUAUAUAGAAAGAAGCAAUUGGGUUGACAAGUGCCAUUGAAAGAUGAUAAUGUUUUAAGUUGUUCCCAAGAAUGAGGAAAUGACGAUCAAGUGUAGUAGUAGGAGGAGAAGGAAGAAAUAAAAGAUGUAACCGGUCCAGGACAAGGCGGUUCACCAACGGGAUGGCGACACGCUCCGGAGACAUUGGCUUAGGUUAGCUGGUUAGAAAGGGAAGAAAACGGUAAGUUGACUGUGACCUCGACCCGGUGAGGGUGAAGAUAAUUUAUUAAGUGGACAAGACACUGCUUUGAAAGAAGAAUAUGUUAAAGGAUAUGAGUAAAUGCAUGGAAACAAUGGCUUGAGUACUGUUAUAAUAGCAUAGGCAUUUAAAUUUAAUUAUGCAAAAGCAGUUAGAAGGUGUAAAAUCAGUGAAAUCAUUAAAAUGUCUUGUUUGUUCAUUUUUUAACGUUUCUGACUAUUAUAAUGGACAUUAC